CUCCUCCCAGAUCUCCAGUCACUCGAAGAGUCGAAAUCGAACACCGAGCAGUCUCAAACCGCCGCCAACCGCCGACGAACUAGAGACGCCGACCGCCGACACCUUCAAUUCGAAGUUCGAAGUUCGACUUCGGCACUUCGCCGACCCAGUUUUGAGUUUUCCUCCAUUAAUUCGAACUAAAAAGAGACGAGCAGAAGCAGCUCGCAUUCGGGAGAAAUAUCCUGAUAGAAUUCCUGUGAUUGUAGAGAAGGCUGAAAAAGAGAGACAUUCUGG